CGGACGGGUGAGUAACGCGUGAGAAUCUGGCUUCAGGUCUGGGACAACCACUGGAAACGGUGGCUAAUACCGGAUGUGCCGAGAGGUGAAAGGUUAACUGCCUGAAGAUGAGCUCGCGUCUGAUUAGCUAGUUGGAAGUGUAAUGGACUCCCAAGGCGACGAUCAGUAGCUGGUCUGAGAGGACGAUCAGCCACACUGGGACUGAGACACGGCCCAGACUCCUACGGGAGGCAGCAGUGGGGAAUUUUCCGCAAUGGGCGAAAGCCUGACGGAGCAAUACCGCGUGAGGGAGGAAGGCUCUUGGGUCGUAAACCUCUUUUCUCAGGGAAGAACAAAAUGACGGUACCUGAGGAAUAAGCAUCGGCUAACUCCGUGCCAGCAGCCGCGGUAAUACGGAGGAUGCAAGCGUUAUCCGGAAUGAUUGGGCGUAAAGCGUCCGCAGGUGGCUAUGUAAGUCUGCUGUUAAAGAGUCUAGCUCAACUAGAUAAGAGCAGUGGAAACUGCAUGGCUAGAGUGCGUUCGGGGCAGAGGGAAUUCCUGGUGUAGCGGUGAAAUGCGUAGAGAUCAGGAAGAACACCGGUGGCGAAGGCGCUCUGCUAGGCCGCAACUGACACUGAGGGACGAAAGCUAGGGGAGCGAAUGGGAUUAGAUACCCCAGUAGUC
rnacentral:rRNA from 1 species